rnacentral:lncRNA from 1 species
UCUAUCUUUCAGAUUUUAGUGCCUCUUCAAAUCAGCCAAUGGUCAUCAAGAGUUUCUUUGGCUUGAAAAAUUCAUCAGCCUGAGGAAAAUGGGACGAUGAACCUCUCCACAUUCACCUAGGUUGUUCUCUGCCGUAAUAGACCUACCCAGCCCUAUGCUCAAAGCACUUCUAAGUUGGAAAGACCUACCACAAUUUAUGUUCCUCUCACCUUGGAGAGUACAGUGUCAACUCUCUGCUGUGAUAAGGCAUCAGAGGAAGAGGACAGAUCAUCUAGCGCUAAGCAAAGAAAGAAAUGUCAAAAUGUUUUUUGAUGCCUGGCGUGAUGGCAAGAUCCUGCCCUUGGCUUUACUUAUGAUGAAGCAUAAGACAAUUGAGUGAG